GAUGAAGAACGCAGUGAAAUGCGAUAAGUAAUGUGAAUUGCAGAAUUCAGUGAAUCAUCAAAUCUUUGAACGCAUCUUGCGCUCCUUGGUAUUCCGAGGAGCAUGCCUGUUUGAGUGUCAUUCAACUUGUCAACCACUUUGGAAGUUGUUUUUCAAUGUGGCUUGGAUGUGGGGGAUUUGCAGGCUUUUCUUCUGUCUGCUCUCCUGAAAUGCAUUAGUGGUGUCUUAAAGGGUUCACAACCACAGGUGUGAUAAAUUAUCUAUGCCUUUGGUAUGAACAGAACUGUGCUGCUUCUAAAUGAAAUGAGCCCUUGCAGGCUCUUUCUUUUGAUGAAUUUGACCUCAAAUCAGGUAGGACUACCCGCUGAACUUAAGCAUAUCAAUAAGCGGAGGA
rnacentral:misc_RNA from 1 species